AGCACGGCCUCUCCGAAGCCUGCCCGGCUCCUCGGGAACCUGCCUCCCGCAUGGCAGCUGCUGCCCUUCGGAGGCCG
ensembl:miRNA MIR596 microRNA 596